GCCUGCAUGAAGUCGGAAUUGCUAGUAAUCGCGGAUCAGCAUGCCGCGGUGAAUACGUUCCCGGGCCUUGUACACACCGCCCGUCACACCAUGGGAGCCGGUAAUACCCGAAGUCAGUAGUCCAACCUCGUGAGGACGCUGCCGAAGGUAGGAUUGGCGACUGGGGUGAAGUCGUAACAAGGUAGC
rnacentral:rRNA from 1 species